GCAACAAUGUUUACGUUCCGGGGAUUAUGACGUCGACGCCGCCCCCCCGACUGCGGAAAAUGGUUUCCUAGGACUUUGCAAGCGGAUCCGCUUAAGUGUUGGUGCAAAACUUUGUAGACCGCGGCCCGGGCUCGCGCUCUGUCCUGACGUGGGGCUGGUUGUCUUUGGUCUCCCUCCCGCUCCCCUCGCCAAAAUGCGGGGGGCAGGAGUGUUGACAAUUAAUUGGUGAACUCUCCUAAAAAAAUGGAGGCAGAGAAAGACUCUGGAAGAAGAUUGCGCGCGAUUGACCGCCAGCGCUACGACGAGAACGAGGACCUGUCGGACGUGGAGGAGAUCGUGGGCGCGCGCGGCUUCAGCCUGGAGGAGAAGCUGCGCAGCCAGCUGUACCAGGGCGACUUCGUGCUCGCCAUGGAGGGCAAAGAUUUCAACUAUGAGUACGUGCAGAAAGAAGCUCUCAGGGUCCCCCUGAUAUUUCGGGAAAAGGAUGGACUGGGAAUUAAAAUGCCUGACCCUGAUUUCACAGUCCGGGAUGUCAAACUCCUAGUGGGGAGCCGGCGGCUGGUGGACGUGAUGGACGUGAACACGCAGAAGGGCACGGAGAUGAGCAUGUCUCAGUUUGUGCGCUACUACGAGACGCCCGAGGCCCAGCGGGACAAGCUGUACAACGUCAUCAGCCUGGAGUUCAGCCACACCAAGCUCGAGCACUUGGUCAAGCGCCCGACUGUGGUAGACCUGGUGGACUGGGUGGACAACAUGUGGCCCCAGCACUUGAAGGAGAAGCAGACGGAAGCCACAAAUGCCAUCGCAGAGAUGAAGUACCCCAAAGUGAAGAAGUACUGUCUGAUGAGCGUGAAAGGCUGUUUCACUGACUUCCACAUCGACUUCGGAGGCACUUCCGUCUGGUACCAUGUUUUCCGGGGCGGGAAGAUCUUUUGGCUGAUCCCUCCCACCCUGCACAACUUGGCGCUGUACGAGGAGUGGGUGCUGUCGGGCAAACAGAGCGACAUCUUCCUGGGAGACCGUGUAGAGCGAUGUCAGAGAAUUGAGCUGAAGCAGGGCUACACGUUCUUCAUCCCUUCCGGUUGGAUCCAUGCUGUCUAUACCCCCGUCGACUCUCUGGUGUUCGGCGGAAACAUCCUGCACAGUUUCAACGUGCCCAUGCAGCUGCGCAUCUACGAGAUCGAGGACAGAACCCGGGUGCAGCCCAAAUUCCGUUACCCCUUCUACUAUGAGAUGUGCUGGUAUGUCUUGGAGCGGUACGUGUACUGUGUGACCCAGCGGUCCUACCUCACUCAGGAAUACCAGAGAGAGUCGAUGCUUAUUGAUGCCCCGAGAAAGCCCAGCAUAGACGGCUUCUCUUCUGAUUCCUGGCUGGAGAUGGAGGAGGAGUCUUGUGAGCAGCAGCCCCCAGAGGAGGAGGAGAAGGAGGAGGAGGAGGGCGCGGAGGCAGACAGAGGCCCCAGGACGCCCGCCGACCGCUCUGCCUCGCCCGCCAGCGCCGCCGAGGACCAGGAGGCCCCCGGGAAGGAGCCCAAAACGCCUGCCUUGCGGCUCCUCAAAAGGACUUUGUCUACCGAGUCAGAGGAGAGCGUGAAGUCCACGGCCAUGCCCGUCGACUACCCCAGGACGCCCACCGGCUCGCCCGCCACCGAGGUCUCUGCCAGAUGGACUCACCUCACCGAGUUUGAGCUGAAGGGCCUGAAGGCGCUGGUGGAGAAGCUGGAGUCCCUUCCGGAGAACAAGAAGUGUGUGCCCGAGGGCAUCGAGGACCCCCAGGCGCUCCUGGAGGGUGUGAAGAACGUCCUGAAGGAGCACGCAGAUGACGACCCCAAUCUGGCCAUCACUGGGGUUCCUGUAGUCACUUGGCCAAAGAAGACUCCAAAGAACCGGGCAGUAGGUCGGCCCAAGGGCAAGCUGGGCCCGGCCUCCUCAGUGAAGUUGGCCGCCAACCGGACGACGGCGGGAGCUCGCCGGCGCCGGACGCGAUGCCGCAAGUGCGAGGCCUGCCUGCGGACGGAGUGCGGAGAGUGCCACUUCUGCAAGGACAUGAAGAAGUUCGGGGGCCCCGGGCGCAUGAAGCAGAGCUGCAUCAUGAGGCAGUGCAUUGCGCCAGUGCUGCCCCACACCGCCGUGUGCCUGGUGUGCGGCGAGGCGGGGAAGGAGGACACGGUGGAGGAGGAGGAAGGCAAGUUCAACCUCAUGCUCAUGGAGUGCUCCAUCUGCAACGAGAUCAUCCACCCUGGAUGCCUUAAGAUUAAGGAGUCGGAGGGCGUGGUCAAUGAUGAGCUUCCCAACUGCUGGGAGUGUCCGAAGUGCAACCACGCCGGCAAGACCGGGAAAGCCUACAAGCAAAAGCGUGGCCCUGGCUUCAAGUAUGCCUCCAACCUGCCGGGCUCGCUGCUCAAGGAGCAGAAGAUGAACCGCGACAACAAGGACGGGCAGGAGCCGGCCAAGCGGAGGAGCGAGUGUGAGGAGGCGCCCCGGCGCAGGUCGGACGAGCACCCCAAGAAGGUGCCCCCCGACGGCAUCCUGCGCCGAAAGUCGGACGAUGGGCACCUGCGGCGGAAGCGGAAAUACGAGAAGCCGCAAGAGCUGAUUGGACGCAAGCGAGCCUCGACGCUUCAAACGUCCCCCGGUUCCUCCUCUCACCUCUCGCCGAGGCCCCCUCUAGGCAGCAGCCUCAGCCCCUGGUGGAGAUCCAGUCUCACUUACUUCCAGCAGCAGCUCAAGCCUGGCAAAGAAGAUAAGCUUUUCAGGAAAAAGCGGCGCUCCUGGAAGAACGCGGAGGACCGGAUGGCGCUCGCCAAGCCCCUCCGGCGCUUCAAGCAAGAGCCCGAAGAUGAUCUGCCCGAGGCCCCCCCAAAGACCCGGGAGAGCGACCACUCCCGCUCCAGCUCCCCCACGGCGGGCCCCAGCACCGAGGGCGCCGAGGGCCCCGAGGAGAAGAAGAAGGUCAAGAUGCGCCGGAAGAGGCGGCUCCCCAACAAGGAGCUGAGCAAGGAGCUGAGCAAGGAGCUCAACCAGGAGAUCCAGAAGACGGAGAGCAGCCUGGCCAACGAGAACCACCAGCCCAUCAAGUCGGAGCCCGAGAGCGACGAGGAGCCCAAGCGGCCCCUGGGCCUCUGCGAGCGCCCCCACCGCUUCAGCAAGGGGCUCAACGGCACCCCCCGGGAGCUGCGGCACCAGCUGGGGCCCGGCCUGCGGAGCCCGCCCCGCGUCAUCUCCCGGCCCCCUCCCUCCGUGUCCCCGCCCAAGUGCAUCCAGAUGGAGCGACACGUGAUCCGGCCGCCCCCCAUCAGCCCCCCGCCUGACUCGCUGCCCCUGGAUGACGGGGCAGCCCACGUCAUGCACCGGGAGGUGUGGAUGGCCGUCUUCAGCUACCUCAGCCACCAAGACCUGUGCGUCUGCAUGCGGGUCUGCAGGACCUGGAACCGCUGGUGCUGCGAUAAGCGGUUAUGGACCCGCAUCGACCUGAACCACUGCAAGUCCAUCACGCCCCUGAUGCUGAGCGGCAUCAUCCGGCGGCAGCCCGUCUCCCUGGACCUCAGCUGGACCAAUAUCUCCAAGAAGCAGCUGAGCUGGCUCAUCAACCGGCUGCCUGGGCUCCGAGACUUGGUGCUGUCGGGCUGCUCGUGGAUCGCAGUCUCAGCCCUCUGCAGCUCCAGCUGCCCGCUGCUCCGGACCCUGGAUGUCCAGUGGGUGGAAGGACUAAAGGACGCCCAGAUGCGGGACCUCUUGUCCCCACCCACAGAUAACAGGCCGGGUCAGAUGGACAAUCGGAGCAAGCUCCGGAACAUCGUGGAGCUGCGGCUGGCGGGCUUGGACAUCACGGACGCCUCUCUGCGGCUCAUCAUACGCCACAUGCCCCUGCUCUCCAAGCUCCACCUCAGUUACUGUAACCACGUCACUGACCAGUCCAUCAACCUGCUCACCGCUGUGGGCACCACCACCCGGGACUCCUUAACUGAAAUCAACCUGUCAGACUGCAAUAAGGUUACUGAUCAGUGCCUGUCCUUCUUCAAACGCUGUGGCAAUAUCUGUCAUAUAGACCUGAGGUACUGCAAGCAAGUCACCAAGGAAGGCUGUGAGCAGUUCAUAGCCGAAAUGUCUGUGAGUGUCCAGUUUGGACAAGUGGAAGAAAAACUCCUGCAGAAACUGAGUUAGUCCAAGGACAAGAGUGAACGAGGAAUGUGAUUGGAAGUUGAGGCAGUUUGCUGCACGCCGGUGUACAGGUUCUGAAGCGAGACGAUCUAACCCUGGGACCUCAUACAGAAACGACUACUCUAGUGAAUCUGAAAACGGGCAAGAUGACCCAACUACCUCAAGUCUCCUGGGGUGAGCCUUUUCUGCUGACAGUGGUUUCAUAUUGCCCCCUUUGCCUCUCUUGUAUUUUCGUCAUGGUGAAAGGGUUUUAGAUUCCACCUAGAUUUAGCCCAGAGAUCCUUUCUGACUCAAACUGGAGACACUUGAAGCAGUUGGACCUCAGAAUUAAACUCAGGAGAUGCAUUAACAGAGGUAAGAUUAGUUUAGCUACAGUUUAUUUACAAAAACGAGGCUUACUUUGGCAUGCCUGAUGAGUCAUCACGGACCACCCCCAUGAAAGGUAAAGUUUUGGUCGUCGUCUUAGCCUGAGAUUUCCAAACCUCCAAAUAAGAGUUACUCCAUCUCCAGUCAAGUGAGCCUUCCUUGGCAAAUGCCUUGAGGGCAGUAGUGGUUCUAGGUGAACAGUUCUCGGGUUUAGGGGCCCAGUUGGUCCUGCAGUGUAUCCAGGAGCACAGGUCUCAAGAGGCGGUGAGGGAAGGGCAGCCAGGCUCCCCUAGGGAGCCACAGUGUCUCCCAGACUGAGGCAGGCCCAGCAGUGCUGUGGUCCCAGAUGAGCCCCCAGGGAUACUGAACGGUCCGGAAGGUGAUGUCCAGUAUGGUUUUCAUUUCAGAAAUGAGCCUUUCGAGGCCAGCCUAAGCUAGAUGCGUGCAGACAACUCGCAAGGCCACACCCCGUAGCUGACGCAUUAAGAGGACCGUACAGCAGAGGGAGCGCUUUCCUGGGUUAGGUCUCAACUUCCUAACCCGCAAGGGAGGGGGGCUCCACCCCCUCCUCCGGGACACUGAGAAUUUACGGAGAAAGACCCCUUUAAAGUCCGAGCAUCAAGUGAUGUCCUUUUGUGGUGGGAACAGGACAGGGGGGUGUACCUGUCUCCCACUGUGGGCCUUCGGCACCUUGUUCAUGUGACAUAUCACCUAUUCAAGAAACUAACUGUAAGGGGCGUGUGUACCAGUGAGAAAAUGCAGGAUCCGCGGGGAAAUGUUAGUACCAAACAAGUUAGUGCCUUGUAAUUCAGUUAUUUGAAGUGUCCAGUCUAUUAGACUAAAAAUUUGCUAGCUAGCCACUAAACCAAGGUUACUUCAGAUGCUACCAAGGAAAAUCCGCCAUAUUCAGGGUGCUCGUACUCUCUCUAGAGCCAGACACCUUAGUAUAAAUCCAGGAGGAAGACACGAGCCAUGUUAAGCUGAGACCACAUACAAAUAUGUCAAUCUUCCAAUUUAGCGUUAGACAAACCAAAACCCACUGCUCAGCUCCUUUUCAAAGUGCUAAUUCUCAUCUGCUGGCUUGGAUUUGAAGACUUCCCUCCGCCCAGUUAGCCAGUGGUGGGGGAAGACCGAUUUUCCAGUCACUAUCUCACAGCAAGUACAAACUCAGCGCAUCUGACUCCAGCAGGGGCCAGACUUUCCUGCUUCCAUAGUGAGGCCCGUUACUGGGAAGACCCCACCCACGGCGCUGCAACCAACAGAGGGCACCUGAAAAUAUCCACAGGCCUUGACUUCCAUGCCGACCCUUAAAUCCAGAAAAGAUCGGCAUGAGCGCCUUCUAAACUGGAAACAUUUCCUGCCUCUGAGUUCACAGUUUGACCGUCCCUGGCCAUCUGGCAGCACACGUGUGACCUGCUGCAUUCAAAAGAUCAUUCACGUUCCUAGGAAACCAUUGGACAUGCUCAUGUCCCAGAUUUCUCAUUUGCUGCAAGAUACCAAAGAGUCAAAAAAAAAUUUUUUUUUUAAAUCAGAACUAGGUUCAAGUUCAGCUGUGGCCACUUUUUAACUGAGAUUCUAGACAAGUUCCUUAACUCCUCAGAGGUCAUGCUCUGUGUCUGUGAAAUGAGGCGACAUCUACUUCUGGAUGCUGGAGAGGACUGAAGCAGCUGGCACAGAACCUGGUCACCAUGGGAAACAGUGAGUUAACCUCACUGGGAGGUCGGCAGCAGAGGCAAAUCACGGCAGCAUCUGAAGAAGCUGCCGUCCCUGAAGAAGGGUGCGAGAACAGACACAGACGCCCAUUCAUGCUGUACCCGCGGGAAGUAGGAACUGACUGGGACAAUGUAAACAAAAGCAGUUAACUCUAAUUUUAUUUCUAAAGAUCAAAUUAGCUAGCGGGUAGCACUGAAAAUACACUUUCACUAUACAAAACAGUGUAAACUGGUUACACGUUAAUAAAGAAUGUAACACAUGUACUUCUCUAAUGAAAGAAGCUAGAUGCAGCCCUUGCUAUAAAAAGCUGUACAUGAACAGAAAUGGACAUGUUUCGUCUAAGGCCCUGGCAGUUGACUACAGAAUGUCAGUUCCCAAUUACACGUAAACGCAGGAAUAGCAACAAUGUGGAAACUUACAUUCAUCAAAUAGUAAUGUGAACAUUCAGAGGGGCCACUGCUCAGCACGUACCACGUUGGCCACUUGUGGACAGUGACCUAAUCCAAAAAGAACGUAAGUUUCAAACCUUCAAGUAGUUUAAGUUAAAAAUAGGGUGAAGGAGAAAUAAGAGAACGAGAUAAACAUCCUCCCAAGGAGCGGUAGCAGGUGCCACGAGCAGUCUGACUUUGGCAAUGAGUGAUCGCAACGUGGGAUGAAGCCUGACGACAUGGGAGCGCACGGUCCACAGGCAGGUGGGCGCAUGGCGUGGACCCGUGUUGCUGAAACUUGGGUGAAUCUUCGGGUGCCCAGUUAGUAGUGAAAAUAACUUUAAAAAAUAGCUUCGGCCUUUGAACAGUAAGUUUCUAGUACCUCCUGUGCCUUGAAAUGUCUGGGAUCGAGCUUGGGAUCAAGUGUCCCAUGGGGCGAGCCUCAGUUCAGGACUUGAACACAUGCACAGCACGCACCACAUACUGGCGGCAGAUGGGACACUCGCUCAUGCGCUUGCCACACUUGGUGCAGGUGACCAUGUGCCCGCACUCGAGCAGGACACAGUCGAUGACGGCGUCCAUGCAGAUCCGGCACAGGCUGUCAUCCUCCUCGUCCUGCAGCUGCAGCCGCUCGCCAUCUGAAAGACAGCAGAGCGGGGCUGGGGAGGGGCCACCUGGCGGCUGAGCAGCAUCUGCUGCAUCCAGGACAAACCCAGCAUCCCUGAGAGAUGCUCCCACUUCUCUGCACUUAGGUCUCCUCCGCGCAGCGCGGCAGCUGUCGCGCCUGUGAACCCUGUGACAUGGACGCGGGCCUCCCGUGAGUAAAAACCACUUAGGUUGCCCUGCUCAUGGACCUUGGGAGUCAGAACGCCAGUGGAAUGUCCACCCAUCUGUGACCGAGGGCAGUUUCCAUCUCCAGAACGAGCUUUAUUUCCACACCUAAAGGAAGGUCAGGGUUGGGAGGAGGCAUCCCCUAGCCUUGAAAGCAUCUCAAGCCAUCUGCUCUUGGCCACGCUGGCCCUGUUGGAGUCUAACUCAAAAGGGAUCAGUCAUCUAGUCUCUGGCCUAGAUUUAGAUUCUGAGAAAAGAAAAAUGCUUAUUCACUGUGGAUAAGAGUAUUGUGGACUGAGAUUUAGCCAGAGUUGUAAACAGGUCAUAGAGGGGAUCAGUGGCGAUCAUGGAUAUAGUAGAAAGAACAGGAAUUUAAGCUUGAUGGACCAGUUAGAUCCCAAAUUUAAGUUUUUUCAUGACAAGAGAUUCCUGUAAUCUGUGGCUUUGGCGCAUGGUCCCCUGUAGAGCAGGAGAAAGUAUGUAAGUGACAGACAAGCCCAUAAGGAAGACGCUAGGGUUCCUGAAUCUGGAUCUUGGUCUCCUUGCCUGCAUAGAAGGUUCCUUUCAACUCUUUAAAUACGUCUGAGCAUAAAGCAGAGGGGCCAGAGUAUGUCGAGGCUAAAAUGACUCUCCCCUUACUGCCAGGAUGUGAUUUCUCAGUUAAUCUGGAACCUCUGAGGAUUGAGAAUUCCUUUAUCUGCUACUGUGGCAUCAUAUGAGAAACAGGUGUGCCAGGAUACCUCUGCAUACUCUAUCCACAGAAAGCUGGUAUUAUAAACAGCUUUUAAAAAAACCCAAGAUGGAUCCUCCCUGGUGGCGCAAGGAAGGGGUUAAGCACCACACUAUGAGGCAAUCUGAAGCUUCUGCAACACGAGUUCUAUCCCCGGCGGCUAGGGAGCAACCCACAUGGCGCAGCAGACCUCCUGUCUUGCCCGCUGCUCCCCUCAGUAGUGUAUUUCGUCAGUCUGCCUGUUCUGUUCCCCGUUCUGUCUCUGGUGAGUCCUCUCACCCCCCACAUCUCUGGCCUAUGCCCCAGCUCUUGUAUGCAUAAAUAAAUAAAUCUUAAAAAUAAAAAAAAACCCAAGAUGAUAAAAGCUAAUCAUGAGAGUAUUGUUGAAGUCUAGAUAGGAACAUAAGAUUGACAUAAGUUGACUUGAACAUCACUGAAUUUUUUUCCCCUUGCCUAUAAAUGCUCUGUAGCUUGGCCCUAUUACCAGGGAGGAUUUCUGUUCCAUGCUUCAUCAAAACAGGUCAGAAGUUCUUGGCCUCAGCUUUUAGAGACAUGCACAAAAACCUGCUAAUACUUGGUGCUAAGAACUGCUUAACACUUUGGCUCUACAGAAUUCCCCCUCACUAUUGGGUUAUCUCAAUUGUAGCCUUUAAACUCUAAACAUUUUUAUAGAGACAAGGAAUUGCAUUUGAGUUCUUAAAAGUCUAGGAAAGGAGACUAUAGGGAAGGGAAAAGAAAAGACCUACAUGACUUUUGGUUUUCUUCGUUCUCUUUGUAUAACCGGUUUACUUUCUCUACCAGCUCCCAUUUUUCACAACAGCCAGAAUAGUUGACAAAAUUCCGUGCCAGGAUUUCCUUCAGCUGGCGCACACUCAUCCCUUCCACAUCUUCAAGACUUGACAGGUCAGACAGUGAAGCUCUCACUCUCUUCUUAGAAAGGCCAGGCAUCUGCAAUCAGAGCUUGGAUUACCUCCUCCUUCCAGUCCAGACCUGCCACUGCCAGGGCAGCGCAUGCUCUCCACCCCUCUGGCCCUCACAGGCUUCUCAGCAGUCCUGGAGUGCUUUAUAUGUUGUUCUACAUUUGAGCACAAAAAGCCUUCCUGUGCUAAUCGGGCCAAGUCCACACAGGCGUUUUCCCUCCCUGACAGACUGGAUGUCAGGGAACCCAAAUUUUACACAAGAUCUCACCUGAUCCUCCAAGUUUUCUUCAUCAUCUUCUUCAUCAUCGUCCUCGUCCUCAUCCUCGUCCUCUUCUGUGUUUGCUGAAGCUAUUUCACUUUGUACCUAAACACACAAUGGAUCUGCUUAGGUCAGAAAUCACCUUAACAGUAACCACCCAUAUUUAUCACUGGAGAAAAAAAUCUUUUCAUAGAUCCUCCCCAAGAGGGACUCCCCCAACACCCACCAUAUUCCAUGUCUUGGACCCUGAAUGCUGCUGCCCCUCCCAAAAGUAUAUGAUAAACAAUUUACCUUCCAUAAAGUUAACUCAAAAGGUGUAUUCCUAUGUUGGUCUGAAUUUUAAGCAAAGUACCAUCAUGGAAUGCCAAAAGUCACAAGCAUAUGAAAUGGUAUCACGUCACUCUCAGAGGAUCUACAAAUGACUGCUUUAACGGGAGCUUCUAAGGUACAGAGAUGAAAGCUUGACUAAGAUCAGCCCAGGUGUCAGACAUUCAAUUUGAAAGAUCUCAGUACUACUACAUCACAUUUAGACAUCCUAAUUCCACACACACAAGUGUUUUCUGGGUUCACUGGCGGCUAUUACUAGUUCUAGGUGUUAGAAAUUUAUUGACAAUCUGAUACCUU